UGCAGUUAAAAAGCUCGUAGUUGGAUUUCUGGGAGGGUGCCAAUGUCCGUCGUCGUACGUGUUGCAGCGGCGCCCUUCCAUCCUUCUGUUAACGACUUUGGGCAUUCACUUGCCGGAGUCGGGCUCAGAUAUUUUACCUUGAGAAAAUUAGAGUGUUUCAGGCAGGCUAGGCCGGAAUACAUUAGCAUGGAAUAAUGGAAUAGGACUACGGUCUCUUUGUUGGUUUGAGGGACUGCAGUAAUGAUUAAUAGGGAUAGUUGGGGGCAUUAGUAUUUAAUUGUCAGAGGUGGAAUUCUCGGAUUUGUUAAAGACUAACUUAUGCGAAAGCAUUUGCCAAGGAUGUUUUCAUUAAUCAAGAACGAAAGUUAGGGGAUCAAAGACGAUCAGAUACCGUCCUAGUCUUAACCAUAAACUAUGCCGACUCGGGAUCGGGGGCGCGAACUAUCCGCCUUCGGCACCGUAUGAGAAAUCAAAGUUUUUGGGUUCCGGGGGGAGUAUGGUCGCAAAGCUGAAACUUAAAGGAAUUGACGGAAGG
rnacentral:rRNA from 1 species